GCUAGAUAACAUGUUCCUAGAGAAGAAAAAAUUGCAAUUAAUGGUGAAAAGGAGUAGAAUGGAAUGGGCUAACAUUCUACUAUUUAGAUGUUAUCACAUUCCAUUCCAAGAUACCAUCAAUUGAAACAUACCCUAAGAGAACUUGUUUUGCUGGGAAUAACUGGGAACGAACACAGGAAGCUGGGCACCUCUAUGUGAUCUACCUUGCUGAAAAUCCCUUAUAGUAUUAUCUCUGUCCGAAACACCAGCUACUGAGCUACUAUUUCUUGUUCCUGCAUUUGACUGUUCACUCACAGCAGGACUGCCAAAAAAUAUAGAACGGCCGCUGUAUGUUAACUCUGUUCCAGGAAUCUGAGAACUGCCUU
rnacentral:lncRNA from 1 species